AGGACGAACGCUUGCGACGUGCCUAAGAAAUGCAAGUCGAACGGGGUCAGACUUCGGUUUGGCCUAGUGGCGAACGGUCGCGUAACACGUAGGCAACCUGCCCUGAAGCGGGGGACAACAGCUUGAAAGAGCUGCUAAUACCGCAUGUGUUUGUUUGGUGGCAUCAUCGAACAAACAAAGCCUUCGGGCACUUCAGGAUGGGCCUGCGGCCUAUCAGCUAGUUGGUGAGGUAACGGCUCACCAAGGCUUCGACGGGUAGCUGGUCUGAGAGGACGAUCAGCCGGAUUGGGGACUGAGAUACGGCCCAGACUCCUACGGGGGGCAGCAAUUAGGAAUCUUGCACAAUGGGGGAAACCCUGAUGCAGCGACGUCGCGUGGGGGACAAAUCUUUCGGGAUGUAAACCCCUUUGAGUGGGAAGAAACAAUGACGGUACCACUCGAAUAGCCCCGGCUAACUACGCGCCAGCAGCCGC
rnacentral:rRNA from 1 species